rnacentral:rRNA from 1 species
UACGUAGGGUGCAAGCGUUAAUCGGAAUUACUGGGCGUAAAGCGUGCGCAGGCGGUUUUAUAAGUCUGUCGUGAAAUCCCCGGGCUCAACCUGGGAAUUGCGAUGGAGACUGCAAGGCUAGAGUUUGGCAGAGGGGGGUAGAAUUCCACGUGUAGCAGUGAAAUGCGUAGAUAUGUGGAGGAACACCGAUGGCGAAGGCAGCCCCCUGGGAUGUGACUGACGCUCAUGUACGAAAGCGUGGGGAGCAAACAGG